AUACGUAUGUCGCAAGCGUUAUCCGGAAUUAUUGGGCGUAAAGCGAGUCUAGGCGGCUUGUUAAGUCAGAUGUGAAAAUGCGGGGCUCAACUCCGUAUUGCGUUUGAAACUGGCAGGCUAGAGUACUGGAGAGGUGGGCGGAAAUACAAGUGUAGAGGUGAAAUUCGUAGAUAUUUGUAGGAAUGCCGAUAGUGAAGACAGCUCACUGGACAGAUACUGACGCUAAAGCUCGAAAGCGUGGGGAGCGAACAGGAUUAGAAACCCCGGUAGUCC
rnacentral:rRNA from 1 species